GGCAACACGAACGGUCGUUCGGUCAAUGAGUAAGUCCCCCAUUUCAGGGGA
rnacentral:ncRNA from 1 species